GAUUACAUCCUCCACAUAAGCCUUGUUAACAAAGUUAGCAAGGCGUCUCUGCAAACAUAUAGAGCGUCAUAUUUAAAAAAUCUCUUGAAUAUAGUCAAAAGUUCAAAAAGGACGUUUGACACGUGAAUAUAAGGUCUAUUGACCGGGUUUCAGUAUGAACAUAUUCAUGCUAAGUUUUUCUUGAAUUUUAAUGGCAGAAUACAUAAGUUCAUGCCUAAAAUUUACCAAAAAAAUCUCAUGGCAUUCUGAACUUUUCAAACGUCCUAUGAUACGCCUUGUAAACAUCUUGUAAACAUCCCACUAUACACCUCAACUCUUGGAAGCUAGAAUUAACAUUUCCUUUGAUCUGUUGAUAGGGCAGUUUGCUAACUAGAAUCCAAAGGGUAUCUCAAUUUCACUUAGUUGAGGUGUCACGGGACAUUUUAAAAAUUCAGAGUUCCAUGAGAUUUUUUGAUAAAGUUCAGAUAUGAAAUGAUGUAUUAAGCCAAUUUUAGUUAUUAAUAAAAAUUCUGCUUCAACUCAACUCAACUCAAC
rnacentral:misc_RNA from 1 species